GAAAGAGGGUGGGCCUGGCUCCCCUGACACGCACGGAAGGAGUGGAGUGAGCUGGUGCAGAUGAGGGCGGCCCACAGGGGUGCCGGGAGGGCCUUGACUCAGUCCGGCUCCAAUCGGUCCUGGGACAAGGGCAGAAUUCAGCCGCUGCUGGCAGCCCCUGUCCAGUGUCCGGGUCCCGAAUUUUAGGAGCCACUGCUGCCCCCUUGGUCGCCUGAAACCCUCUCUCCUUCCUGCCUCCGAUCAUAACCCUGCAAUCUGGCCCUAAUCGCCGCCGGACUCUGUCAUGUGAAGGCCUGGCCCACACCUGCCUUCGCAGCCCACGGAACCCUGGCAGCCCCACCAGCUCGGAUGAGGGGCCAGGCCGCUGCCUCGGGCGCCCUGUGGAUUUCGAUUCACUGCUGCUGCUGCUGCUGCUGCUGCUGCUGCUGCUGCUGCUGCUGCUGCUGCUGCUGGGGCGCCAGCGAUGUGUGACCUCGUGGCUGGAUGUGGGUCCUCGGGCUGGGCUGUGCCUUGCCCCAUGCUGGUGCAGGGAAAAUUCUUCAGGUACGCUUGGCGGUUGCUGAGUUCCUCGCUAACGCCUCUCGCUGCUCCUGGACCCAGUGCAACCAGGACCCGCACCACCACGUGCACUACAUGAAGGUGGGGAAGGCAGCCCCACCUGCAGCAGCCUGGCCUGCAUCUGCAUCUACCAGUUGGACUCCUUCCUGCAACCCAUGCGCACCUACCUGGGCCUGGAGAGCUGUGAUGAGGUGCUGAGGCUCGUGACCCCUCGGGGCCUCUGGCCUUCCUGCUGGCCAGCAAGUAGUUCCUGUCGAAGAAGGGACAGCAGCCAUCCCAGGGCAGUGACCGCGGGACCCAGGUUGGGGCCCUCCCACGCCAGUGACAACUUUCCCGUAGAACACCUCACCAUGGGCAGCCGCAACCCCAGCGAUGUGGCUGGCGGCCCUUAGAACUGCCUCACCAGCCUGACCCAGGACCGGGGCGGGGAUGCGCUUCAGUCCUGCCCUACAUGGACUCAUGAAAAGCGUCUCGCUGUUGGGAACUCUUCCUCCACCGUAUAAAGAAGGCCGGGCUAGCUUGCUGAAGAGAUGGGGAUCCACCUCGAGCCAGCACCAAGCAGCAGACACGUGCAGAAGAGCUACUCUGUGUCCUGUGUGGGGCGGUACAGGGAGCGGAAGGGCAGCCAUUCCCAGCGGUCCGGGGCAGAUCCUGGCGCAGAUCCUGCAGCAAGCCUCGCUGCCAGGUUACACCGCCGCGCUCCAUGGCAUCUUUCAGAAGUUUCUGCUUUAGGGCUGGACUCCACAGGAGGAAAGAGCCAGGAAUAGAAGGAGACUGGCACCGGAAUGAAGAUAACAGUGGCAGAGUCUUCCAUUAGAUACCUGGCUGGGAGCUGGAGCCAUCUCAACCAGCAGUCCGGCCAACAGCUCCCUGUCCCAGUUUUUGUUUCCUUCUCUCUCUGAGUAAUAAAGCAGCAU
rnacentral:lncRNA from 1 species